AAAACAGAGAGAGAGAGAGAGAGAGACCCCCAAAAUGGCAUCUCGAUGUCUCUAUCUGCACUCUUAUUUCAUUCGACUUUCUGUGGAACUUUCGAGCGCGCCGAGCGAUAAGCCAAUAGCUGGAGUGAAGCAGAGAUGGGGCUGACCUUCACAAAGCUGUUAAGCAGGCUUGCCAAGAAAGAGAUACGCAUUCUUAUGGUAGGUCUUGAUGCUGCUGGUAAGACUACCAUACUUUACAAACUCAAGCUUGGAGAAAUUGUCACGACAAUCCCUACCAUCGGAUUCAACGUUGAGACAGUGGAGUACAAGAACAUUAGCUUCACAGUUUGGGAUGUUGGUGGUCAGGACAAGAUCCGUCCAUUGUGGAGGCAUUACUUCCAGAAUACACAGGGACUUAUAUUUGUGGUGGAUAGCAAUGACAGGGAUCGAGUUGUUGAGGCUAGGGAUGAAUUGCAUAGGAUGUUGAAUGAGGAUGAGUUGAGAGAUGCUGUUUUGCUUGUGUUUGCUAACAAACAAGAUCUUCCUAAUGCAAUGAAUGCUGCAGAAAUAACCGACAAGCUUGGUCUUCAUUCUCUCCGACAGCGCCACUGGUACAUCCAGAGCACAUGUGCAACCUCUGGAGAAGGGCUCUAUGAAGGGCUGGAUUGGCUUUCUAACAACAUUGCUAGCAAGGCAUGUUCAUUUUUUUGUUUACUGUAUAAUACUUAAUGGAAAAUUACAUGAUGCAGCAGUUGCAUUACUUUUGAAAUUAAGAGGCAUCUCGCUGGGUGUUAUAGGUACUCGACAGGUGUUAUAGGUACUCGACGUAGCAUAUGUCAUAGACAUGUAUGUGAUGAUGUGUGCAUUACUUGUCAGCAUAUAGGUCUAUACAUGUCAGCCUUCAAUGAACAAGUAUACAGUUCACAUGUUCCAUUUCAACUGAAUGUCUGCAACACCUUGCAUAUGCCCAAGUCCCAAACUUCAUCAUUAUGAAACUUGCCAACCUUGUGUCCCCAUGGAAGUUAGGAUUAUAUGUUUGACUUGUGAACCUGACCCACCAUGCACGUCUGUCCAAGUGUCACACCCAAGGUCUUUAUACCAUGCUCCAUUACUGUGGGGAAAGCAAAAUCUCAAUAAGAGGCUUCUUUAAUAUUUAAAUAUUUAUUAACUUUUUAUAUUUUAUUUUGUAUGCAAAAUUUAGUGCGUCUAUGACAUUUACUAUUGGAGCCUUCAGCCAAAUGAAGAAUAUUUUUUGCUGGGCCUUUGUAUCAGGAGAUAUUUUUCUUGGUCUUUAAAAAAUUGAAAGAAUUUUUGGGGUCUAUAAACAGAUAUAUAUAGAAUUCGAAAAUGCUUCCGACCUCUAAAACGUGAUCACUAAAUCGGUACUAAUGACGUGGCUGCCAACGUGGAAAGCUGAGGCAAACUCGCCCGUUUCUCCCUCUUUCUUAUUCAUUUCAAAUUUCAAAUUCAUUUGCACAAAACAUUUGAAGACUCUCUCUCUCUCUCUCUAUUCUUCCUUCUCUUCUCUUCUCUGCUGUGCCUCUUUGUCGACGAGCUCCCGACGAACGCAGCUUCUACAACCCCGACGAGCGCAACUUCUCACGAGAACGACGAGCGCAGCUUCUGAAGACGACCGACGACGACCGAGUCUCUCUCCGUCUUCACAGAUCUGUCUGCACAGAUGUCAACUUCAAGCGUUAACGGCAGUACAUCAGAUCAAUUGACAUUUUGCAACAGAAAUUGUCCUCAAUGUCG